rnacentral:rRNA from 1 species
CCUACGGGUGGCUGCAGUGGGGAAUAUUGGGCAAUGGGCGCAAGCCUGACCCAGCAACGCCGCGUGAAGGAAGAAGGCUUUCGGGUUGUAAACUUCUUUUGACAGGGAAGAGCAACAUACGGUACCUGUAGAAUUAACCACGGCUAACUACGUUCCAGCAGCCGCGGUAAUACGUAGGGGGCAAGCGUUGUCCGGAUUUACUGGGUGUAAGGGGCGUGUAGCCGGGCUGACAAGUCAGAUGGGAAAUCCGUGGGCUCAACCCGCGAACUGCAGUUGAAACUGUUGGUCUGGAGUAUAGGAGAGGCAGGCGGAAUUCCUAGUGUAGCGGUGAAAUGCGUAGAUAUUAGGAGGAACACCAGUGGCGAAGGCGGCCUGCUGGACGGCAACUGACGGUGAGGCGCGAAAGCGUGGGGAGCAAACAGGAUUAGAUACCCGUGUAGUC